rnacentral:rRNA from 1 species
UGAGGAAUAUUGGACAAUGGGUGAAAGCCUGAUCCAGCCAUCCCGCGUGAAGGAUGACGGUCCUAUGGAUUGUAAACUUCUUUUGUACAGGGAUAAACCUACUCUCGUGAGGGUAGCUGAAGGUACUGUACGAAUAAGCACCGGCUAACUCCGUGCCAGCAGCCGCGGUAAUACGGAGGGUGCAAGCGUUAUCCGGAUUUAUUGGGUUUAAAGGGUCCGUAGGCGGACCUGUAAGUCAGUGGUGAAAUCUCAUAGCUUAACUAUGAAACUGCCAUUGAUACUGCAGGUCUUGAGUAAAUUUGAAGUGGCUGGAAUAAGUAGUGUAGCGGUGAAAUGCAUAGAUAUUACUUAGAACACCAAUUGCGAAGGCAGGUCACUAAGAUUUAACUGACGCUGAUGGACGAAAGCGUGGGUAGCGAACAGG